GAUGAACGCUGGCGGCGUGGAUAAGGCAUGCAAGUCGAACGCCCUAAAUCUUUAUGGUUUGGGGAGUGGCGAACGGGUUAGCAACACGUAGCUAUCUACCCAAUACACGGGCCUAACUCAGAGAAAUCUGGGCUAAUUCCCGAUAGUCCCCGUUUCGGCGGGGUAAAGGCGAAAGCCGGUAUUGGAUGGGGUUGCGGCCUAUCAGCUUGUUGGUGGGGUAAUGGCCUACCAAGGCGAUGACGGGUAGGGGAUGUGAGAGCAUGUUCCCCAACAUAGGCACUGCGACACGGGCCUAACUCCUACGGGAGGCAGCAGUCGAGAAUCUUCCGCAAUGGGGGAAACCCUGACGGAGCGACGCCGCGUGCUUGAAGAAGCUUUAAAGUGUAAAGAGCUUUUCUCCGUGAAUAACCCUUCGGGGUGAAGGUAACGGAGGAAUAAGGGGUCUCUAAACUCGUGCCAGCAGAGGCGGUAAUACGAGUACCCCAAGCGUUAUCCGAGUUCACUGGGCGUAAAGCGUCUGUAGGCGGCUAGAAAAGUUUUUAGUUAAAUAUCCAGAGCUUAACUUUGGAAAUGCCAAGAAUACUUUCUGGCUAGAGGGUGUCAGGGGCUGUUGGAACCGACGGUGUAGGUGUGAAAUCCGUUGAUAUCGUCGGGAACACCAAAAGCGAAGGCAUUCAGCUGGGGCAAUCCUGACGCUGAGAGACGAAAGCGUGGGGAGCAAAAAGGAUUAGAUACCCUUGUAGUCCACGCCCUAAACGAUGGACACUGGUUGCUGCAAGUGUCGACCCUUGCAGUGGCGAAGCUAACGCGUUAAGUGUCCCGCCUGGGAAGUACGACAGCAAUGUUGAAACUCAAAGGAAUAGACGGGGACUUACACAAGCGGUGGACCAUGUGGCUCAAUUCGACAACAAGCGAGGAACCUUACCAGGACUUGACAUCCGCCUGAAAACUUUCUGAAAGGAAAGUCUUCUCACAAGGACAGGCGGGCAGGUGCUGCAUGGUUGUCGUCAGCAGGUGGCUUGAGUUGCUCCCUUAAAUGGGGGAACCUGCGCAACCCUUACCCUAUGUUUUAUUUGUCAUAGGGAACUGCCCGAGACAAUCGGGAGGAAGGUGGGGAUGACGCCAAAUCAGCAUGGCCCUUUGAUGUCCUGGGCUGCACACGUGGUACAAUGGCCGAUACAAUGGGUUGCCAAACCGUAAGGUGGAGCUAAUCCCUAUAAGUCGGUCUCAGUUCGGAUUGAGGUCUGCAAUUCGACCUCAUGAAGCCGGAAUCGCUAGUAAUCGCCAAUCAGCCAUGUGGCGAUGAAUAUGUUCCUAAGUCUUGUACUCACCGCCCGUCACAUCAAGAGAGCUGGCAAUACCCGAAGUCCCUUUCGAGGGCCCAAGGUAAGGUCAGUAAU
rnacentral:rRNA from 1 species